GAAGUACUUAUCCAGCUGUCGGAGGCGCAGCGCGUCUUCGUGCAAUUCUGUGGUGUGUUGAAGGUGCGGCCCUGUUCCAGAACCCACGUCUUAGAAUGUUUAGCAUGCUUAAUAUCUCAGGAAAAAACAUGUUAUGACACCUCCAAAGCUGCCUUGCACGUCGGUAACGCACAUCUUUCGGCGUAUUCCCACCCCCAACCUCAGGAACUCAUCCUUAAUCACCAGGUUGCGCACUCCGUAGUACAAAGCCUUCAUAGCGACCUUCCGUUGCUGCAACCUGUGCGCAAGGGCCUUACCCUAAAUGCUGCAGCUGCAGUGUCCCACGUGGCAGAUGGCGAAGCUCCGAAACCCACCUCUGAGCUGGAACAGCUCAAGCUGCUGGUAUGGGGGUUUCCCUUGGGUCACAAAUCCGGCGUCACAUGUUGAGUUUCUCUGCUUCAAGAGCUAGGAUCCGCAUCUAGUCGACGGGAGCUUUCUCCCGACCUUUCCGAAUUUCUUACACACUGCGCCCAUGCAUCCAACUCGCAGCUGACACUGUCCCACAUCGUAUAUCAGCAGACAUGCAGUACAUUGACCGAACCGAAACGGAACUCCCGUUACCACCUUCCAAUUUUUCCUACAUCGUGCGUGACCGGUGUACUUCAUGGUAAUGGAGACGGUAAGCUAGCUGUCCCGGUGUUGCGAUGCAGGCGCCCCGCCUGACCUCAACGGUGGCAGCAGCAGCAGCAGCAGCAUCAACGACUGGAGCCGACGGGGCCCUAUCAUACCGUGUCGCCUCGGAAAGCCAGGACAACUACAUCAUCCUCCAGAACGCAACACUGCGGUCUCGGGACCUGUUACGUCGCCUCCAGGAGUUGCAGCAGUCGGCAGUGGCGGCAAUACAGGACACGCCGCAGCAGCCGGACGCUUGGCCUUCUGGAGGGCGCUUGGCCCCGAUUCAAGAUCCGGAUCUGGAUUCAGGUAGGUUUGAUGUGGAUCGGAAAUGUUUUUCCCUGGGCAAGCUACGGGUGACACCGCAUGCAGGAAAAGCGAAGGCAGGUAUGGUUUGAAAGCACCCAUUACGUAUGUUAUGAUCUUACAAUUAACAUCAUAAUAUACGUAAUGGGUGCUUCGAAUGUUAAUCGUAAGUCAACGAGACACAUUGUAAACCCAAAGGAUGCUGUUUUAGAUAGUUUUGUUGAUGGGCUGUGUGCGAUGGAGCCGAGUUGCCGCGUCUUGCUUGCGGCCCUUCCUGAUGGCAUUUGUCUGCGCUGCUUUGAGGGCUAUGUUCGCUAUUCAGCGAGUUGUCAACUAGGGCUGCUUGUCCUUCUUAAGCGCUGCGCGCUGCUGGAUCCGUACCGAGUACGGUGAGUGUGACCGUGGUGCUGCCGGCAGGGCUCUUGGAGCCUGGAUUGCAGCAGCUGGCGGGGGACAACGGCGCGGCCAUCACCGGCGUGGACGUCGAUGUCGACGUCGUACUCUUUCCAUCUGUCAGUGUAGUACAGGACGGCAGCCAAAGCAGCGACGCCGCAUGUGCUGAUGCUCCACCACUCACCCCG
rnacentral:lncRNA from 1 species